GAGGAAUUUUCGGCAAUGGGGGCAACCCUGACCGAGCAACGCCGCGUGCAGGACGAAGGUUUUCGGAUCGUAAACUGCUUUUCUCGGGGACGAGUACGGACGGUACCCGAGGAAGAAGCCCCGGCUAACUACGUGCCAGCAGCCGCGGUAAUACGUAGGGGGCGAGCGUUGUCCGGAGUUACUGGGCGUAAAGCGCACGCAGGCGGUCGUGUCAGUUUGGGGUUACAGCUCCCGGCUCAACCGGGAGAGCGCCUCGAAGACGGCAGGACUUGAGGGCCAAAGAGGGACACAGAAUUCCGGGUGUAGUGGUGAAAUGCGUAGAUAUCCGGAGGAAUACCAAAGGCGAAGGCAGUGUCCUGGUUGGUACCUGACGCUCAGGUGCGAAAGCUAGGGGAGCGAAC
rnacentral:rRNA from 1 species